rnacentral:tmRNA from 1 species
GGGGCCGACCUGGAUUCGACGUUGGUACUGAAACCCGUGGUGCAUGUCGAGUAGGUUACAGUGCUCGUAAAUCCCUUGUGACAUACAAAGUAAUCGCAAACGACGAUUCUUACGCACUAGCAGCUUAAUACCCUGCUUAUCGCCAAUCGACCCAGCCUGUGGGGAAGAGCGGCGAGCACGCUACACAGGCUCGCAACAAAGUUCGCCCCGGACCGCGUUGCUAAAACCUUAGGGGAUCGGAACCAGCACCCUGCCCGUCGGGCCGCCGGAACCUAAAUUAAUAGACACGGCUAAACAUGUAGAUCUACUGGUGAAUGGUUGACGGACGCGGGUUCGAUUCCCGCCGGCUCCACCA